GAGAGGAAUGGUUAGGAGACUGUUCUGAGGAUACGCAGACAUCAUCCAAAGCUUCCUACAUUCAGAUGAGGACAGAGGUUGGGCCAGAGCUUUGUAAGCUUGUUACCUAAGGAUGGUUCUGACCAUGUAAGCAGAUCACAGAAGCUAUUCACAGAUCAUCAUCAGCCAGAGGUGACUUCUGUUGCUUGCAGCUCAGAAUCCUAGAUGUUUCCGGUGGCACUGAAGAGCCUCUGCUGAAGCUCUAUACCAUUUGCCAUUUACAAAGGGAAAUGAAAUAAUAACGCUGACCAUUUGUGGAGCACAUUCUGUAGUGGCCAUAUGGAUUUGAUCCCUAUCCUUCAGAGGUGCUCAGCCUAAGGGAACACGGAUAGUAGAUUAAGCACUGACCAGAGCCAGCCUUGACAAUGUGCUGAUGGCAACCU
rnacentral:lncRNA from 10 species